ensembl:lncRNA
AUAUUUUUCUAUAAAAUAACAACUUCUGAGUGAACCACCAUCAUCACCACAUGUUAGCAUACAAAAAAGUAAUGUUUUCACUGAUUGCUGCUUAUACCAUAGGUUAACACACUCUACAGAGCCCUGGUAGGGGAAUCCAUAUCCCAUUUUAGGCAUCACCACUUCCGACAAAGAAGUUUGGUAGAUAUUUGCCCACAAUUAGAUGAUGGGACCAUAUGCCCAGCAUGUCCAAAGGCAGAUGGAGAUAUGAUUGUGACAUUGGAUGCCAACUUUGGACUUGUGAGGAAGCAAAGCUCAGGUACAAGUGCAGUUGAGCCAUUACAUGGAACCCGCAUGUUUGUUGAUGAAAAGGAUGUAGAGGAAUACCUGCUAUCACAUCUUGACAGCUCAAAGCCUCAUGAGGACUGCAGUAACUUCAAGGCUGGCAACGUGCUGAGGUCACAAAAACAAGCAAAGAAACUUGACGUUACAGGAGUGUUUGGAGCCUGACAAUGACAAAACUAGAAAGAGUGUCACAUCCCUUACAAACUGUCAAAGACACAUACAGAAUCUAUAACCAGAAUCAAUUUCAGUUCAGUUUUAUUUAUAUAGUGCCAAUUCAUAACAAAAAUUCUCACAGCACUUUUUAAACAAAGUAGGUCUAGACCAUACACUUUAUAAUAUUAUUAACAAAGACCCAACAAUUCCCACCAUGAACAAGCACUACUGUAGGUGUUAACUAUUGUUAACAUGUAACCUUAUCAAUUAGAGCCCGAAUCUGAUGAUGCAGAUGACCAAGCUGAUCGAUCGACUUUGCCAGUGCGACUCGACCAGAAUG